rnacentral:lncRNA from 1 species
GUAUGUGUAUGGAUCUUUAUUUGCUUUUUUUUAAUUGUGAAUUUGUUCUUUUUAUAUGAAAUGAAUAGAAGUUAUUUUAUAUUGUUAUUAUCUAUUAAACUAUAUGAAUCCUCAAUGUUUAUUGCCACGUGGCAAGUUUUUCUUCACGCUCACUAAUGUAACUCUUCUUCUUUUCAUCACUAAAUUUUCAAUAUGCAUUUUAAUGGUCCCAUUAACCGAACAUUCAAUUAGUGCAUUUAAAUGGUCCCCUUACCUUUCCUCCACUAUAUUUUCAAUUAAUGUAAAUGGUUCCACUACCAAACUUUUAAUUAGUAUAUUUAAAUGGUCCUACUACUAUCUACGAUCCUAAUCUCUUUAUGUCCAAUUAUUCAUCAUGUUCACUAAAUUUUUAAUAUACAUUUUAACGGUCUCAUUAAUCAAACUUUCAAUUAGUGUAUUUAAAUGGUCCCACUACUGUUCCUCUACUAUACUUUUAAUUAAUGUAAAUGGUUCCACUAUCAAACUUUCAAUUAAUAUAUUUAAAUGGUCCUACUACUAUCUACGAUCCUAACCUCUAUCUCCAAUUAUUCAUCAUGGCCCAUUUUCCUCCUUCCAUCGAACUUUCAAUUCUUUAUCUUCGAUUUGUUGAUCAAUUCUUUAUUUCUUAUCUUUAGCUAUACACCAUCGCCUCCUUUCCUCACUCCCUCUCUCUCUCACUAAUGUGCACCAAAUUCCUUCUUCCGCCGCGGUCGGAGAGAUCGUCGUCGCUGUCACUAUCACCAUCGUCGGAGAAGGCAUCGUCGGGUUCAUAUCUGCCGCCUACAGUGAGAUAUUUUCGAUAGAUGUACCAAAUAAGAUACACAAGAGAAUAUUUAAUAUUUUAUUAUUAUUAAUUACUAUUAAGGUUUUUAUCUGCUGCAAAACGCGGGUCUCUUCACUAGUGGUAUAUAAAAGUACAAUAACUAAGUACAUUAGAGAUUUUUAUUUACAUGUACUUGAUAAGUAUUGUUAUUUGCGAAUUAUUAUUAUUAUUAUUUAUUU